AGCUUUGCGCAGUGGCAGUAACAUAGCUGAUGAGGUUCAUCCGAGGCGUGUUUAUUGCUAGUUGAAAACUAUACCCCAAUACCCCGCCCUAUGAACGGUAAACCGUUCACUGUGGUAAUUUCUGAUGGUUCCCCGGAA
rnacentral:snRNA from 1 species